rnacentral:rRNA from 1 species
UACAGAGGGUGCAAGCGUUGUUCGGAAUUAUUGGGCGUAAAGCGCACGUAGUCGGCUUUGCAAGUCGGGUGUGAAAUCCCCGGGCUCAACCUGGGAACUGCAUCCGAGACUGCAUUGCUAGAGUAUGGGAGAGGGAAGCGGAAUUUCUGGUGUAGCAGUGAAAUGCGUAGAUAUCAGAAGGAACAUCAGUGGCGAAGGCGGCUUCCUGGACCAAUACUGACGAUCAGGUGCGAAAGCGUGGGGAGCAAACAGG